rnacentral:tRNA from 1 species
CCCCUGAUAGCUCAGUGGUAGAGCACUCGACUGUAAAUCGAGUUGUCACAGGUUCGAGCCCUGUUCGGCAAG